rnacentral:misc_RNA from 1 species
UGCUGCUCUCCAGGGCUGAGGGGUC